UCAAACUUGGUCAUUUAGAGGAAGUAAAAGUCGUAACAAGGUUUCCGUAGGUGAACCUGCGGAAGGAUCAUUAACGUAUCUCUGACGGGGUGCGGUGCGCCCUGCUCCGGCCCGAACGGCCGUGCAGCGGGCUCCCGUCCCUGUUCACACCUUCACAAACCACCGUGAACCUCCACGGCAGAGGGAGGGCGACCUCCCGAAGCCGCAUACAAACACCAGUUGUAACGAAUGUCGUGCGGACUCUGUCCGCCUAAACACAAAACAACUUUCAACAACGGAUCUCUUGGCUCUCGCAUCGAUGAAGAACGCAGC
rnacentral:misc_RNA from 1 species